rnacentral:rRNA from 2 species
GACGAACGCUGGCGGCGUGCCUAAUACAUGCAAGUCGAACGAACUCUGGUAUUGAUUGGUGCUUGCAUCAUGAUUUACAUUUGAGUGAGUGGCGAACUGGUGAGUAACACGUGGGAAACCUGCCCAGAAGCGGGGGAUAACACCUGGAAACAGAUGCUAAUACCGCAUAACAACUUGGACCGCAUGGUCCGAGUUUGAAAGAUGGCUUCGGCUAUCACUUUUGGAUGGUCCCGCGGCGUAUUAGCUAGAUGGUGGGGUAACGGCUCACCAUGGCAAUGAUACGUAGCCGACCUGAGAGGGUAAUCGGCCACAUUGGGACUGAGACACGGCCCAAACUCCUACGGGAGGCAGCAGUAGGGAAUCUUCCACAAUGGACGAAAGUCUGAUGGAGCAACGCCGCGUGAGUGAAGAAGGGUUUCGGCUCGUAAAACUCUGUUGUUAAAGAAGAACAUAUCUGAGAGUAACUGUUCAGGUAUUGACGGUAUUUAACCAGAAAGCCACGGCUAACUACGUGCCAGCAGCCGCGGUAAUACGUAGGUGGCAAGCGUUGUCCGGAUUUAUUGGGCGUAAAGCGAGCGCAGGCGGUUUUUUAAGUCUGAUGUGAAAGCCUUCGGCUCAACCGAAGAAGUGCAUCGGAAACUGGGAAACUUGAGUGCAGAAGAGGACAGUGGAACUCCAUGUGUAGCGGUGAAGUGCGUAGAUAUAUGGAAGAACACCAGUGGCGAAGGCGGCUGUCUGGUCUGUAACUGACGCUGAGGCUCGAAAGUAUGGGUAGCAAACAGGAUUAGAUACCCUGGUAGUCCAUACCGUAAACGAUGAAUGCUAAGUGUUGGAGGGUUUCCGCCCUUCAGUGCUGCAGCUAACGCAUUAAGCAUUCCGCCUGGGGAGUACGGCCGCAAGGCUGAAACUCAAAGGAAUUGACGGGGGCCCGCACAAGCGGUGGAGCAUGUGGUUUAAUUCGAAGCUACGCGAAGAACCUUACCAGGUCUUGACAUACUAUGCAAAUCUAAGAGAUUAGACGUUCCCUUCGGGGACAUGGAUACAGGUGGUGCAUGGUUGUCGUCAGCUCGUGUCGUGAGAUGUUGGGUUAAGUCCCGCAACGAGCGCAACCCUUAUUAUCAGUUGCCAGCAUUAAGUUGGGCACUCUGGUGAGACUGCCGGUGACAAACCGGAGGAAGGUGGGGAUGACGUCAAAUCAUCAUGCCCCUUAUGACCUGGGCUACACACGUGCUACAAUGGAUGGUACAACGAGUUGCGAACUCGCGAGAGUAAGCUAAUCUCUUAAAGCCAUUCUCAGUUCGGAUUGUAGGCUGCAACUCGCCUACAUGAAGUCGGAAUCGCUAGUAAUCGCGGAUCAGCAUGCCGCGGUGAAUACGUUCCCGGGCCUUGUACACACCGCCCGUCACACCAUGAGAGUUUGUAACACCCAAAGUCGGUGGGGUAACCUUUUAGGAACCAGCCGCCUAAGGUGGGACAGAUGAUUAGGGUG